rnacentral:rRNA from 1 species
GGGGAAUUAGGGUUCGAUUCCGGAGAGGGAGCCUGAGAAACGGCUACCACAUCUAAGGAAGGCAGCAGGCGCGCAAAUUACCCAAUCCUAAUACAGGGAGGUAGUGACAAGAAAUAACAAUACAGGACUUUUUGGUUUUGUAAUUGGAAUGAGUUAAGUAUAAACCCCUUUACAAGUAUCAAUUGGAGGGCAAGUCUGGUGCCAGCAGCCGCGGUAAUUCCAGCUCCAAUAGCGUAUAUUAAAGUUGUUGCAGUUAAAAAGCUCGUAGUUGGAUUUCUGUUAAUAAUUUGUAUAAAAUAUUUUGAAUAUUUAUAUAACAUUAACAUAAUUCAUAUUACUAUAUUUUUCAGUAUAUGAAAUUUUACUUUGAGAAAAUUAGAGUGCUUAAAGCAGGCAUAUGCCUUGAAUACUCCAGCAUGGAAUAAUAUUAAAGAUUUUUAUCUUUUUUAUUGGUUCUAAGAUAAGAAUAAUGAUAAUG